rnacentral:piRNA from 1 species
UGAUGCUAGUGAUGCGUGUGAAGUACGC